GCCCUAUUUUCCUAUGUGAGAUUGCCUUCGAUUGCCAAACAUAACACAUACUUAAACAUUAUGUAUGGUAGUAUAUACAGAUUAGCCUCUGAUCAGUGCAUCUUCACAAUCGUAUAAAAAGACAGCAAGUUUUACUCAAAUUGUUUAGAAUCUCCCAGUAGCCAUAAUGAAGUUGAAGUACUGCCUGCUGUUGCUAUCCCUGCUACUCACUGGGGCAUUGGGUCGUCCUACCCAGAAUUCCCUGCCAACGUCUACGCUGCCGCCCUGCACCCCCUGGUGCGCUGGCCAACCGCCACCACCACCCGGUGCCGUCAACUGAACAAUUGAAGACUUUAGACUCGAACAAUCAACACCAACAACAUCUUCUUGAGCUCAGUUGCAACCUCAUAUCCGACUCCUUCAUUGACCGCAUCCUACGAGAAUGCCACGAGUUUAGUCGAACUGCGUAGUCGUUUACUUUCCGUAAUUAUUUCAUGUCAUUUGCUAAAACAAUUAAACUCCCAUAAAGUAUACAA